AUUGAACGCUGGCGGAAUGCCUUACACAUGCAAGUCGAACGGCAGUACGGACUUCGGUCUGGUGGCGAGUGGCGAACGGGUGAGUAAUGUAUCGGAACGUGCCCAGUCGUGGGGGAUAACGUAGUGAAAAUUACGCUAAUACCGCAUACGAUCUAUGGAUGAAAGCGGGGGAUCGCAAGACCUCGCGCGAUUGGAGCGGCCGAUAUCAGAUUAGGUAGUUGGGGGGGGAAGGGCCCACCAAGCCAACGAUCUGUAGCUGGUCUGAGAGGACGACCAGCCACACUGGAACUGAGACACGGUCCAGACUCCUACCGGAGGCAGCAGUGGGGAAUUUUGGACAGUGGGCGAAAGCCUGUUCCAGCCAUUCCGCGUGCAGGAUGAAGGCCCUCGGGUUGUAAACUGCUUUUGUACAGAACGAAAAGGUUUCUACUAAUACUAGGAGCUCAUGACGGUACUGUAAGAAUAAGCACCGGCUAACUACGUGCCAGCCGCCGCAGUAA
rnacentral:rRNA from 1 species